rnacentral:piRNA from 1 species
UGAGAAUAAUGCUUUGGGAUGAUUUUUAAG